UAGGGAGACCUAAACCCAAGAUCUUGAGGAUGCAACAAAGCCCAAGAAAUUGAGGUCAACCUAGGUCGGUCGGAGAAUCGUCGUAGCUUUCAAACGAUAAGAGGUUAGGAAUCCCAACUGCUCAAAUUUCUUUGAGAAGUUGGGAAAAAGAGACCAACCUUGAAAUGGGCUAUUAGCUCAGGUGGUUAGAGCGCACCCCUGAUAAGGGUGAGGUCCCUGGUUCAAGUCCAGGAUGGCCCACCUAACUCUUUAGUGAUGCGAGAGCAGAAACUAAGAAAAUGGGGGUAUAGCUCAGUUGGUAGAGCGCCUGCUUUGCAAGCAGGAUGUCAGCGGUUCGAGUCCGCUUACCUCCAUGCUGGUCUCACCCCAACUCAAUCAUUCAACCAUUCCUAACACAAACAAGAGUGCAAGGAUACCUCAGCACCUGAGAGAGACUCAGACUGCUGGGACAUCCCAGCCAGAACCUUGAAAACUGCAUAGUCAACCUAAAAAAAGUCAGGUGAAGUCGAGACCUCAAGAAAAAUGAGGU
rnacentral:tRNA from 1 species